AUGAAGAGAGUGGUGAAAAUAGAGUCAUGGCACAAAUCCAAGAAUGGGAGUGUCUUCCCUGCAAAGAAACGUUCUGUGAAACAAAUGAUAUGGAAUCAAUUUGUUGAUUUCAUAAAGGGUUCAAGUUACAACAAGGUUUCGCCACCUUCUUCUCAGUUGUCAAAGUCUAACAGUAUUGUACACCCCUAUUCUACGUCAUACUGA